CUUGCAAACAACAGCUGAUUGAUAUGGGUUCUACGAUUGCAUCGCACAUGACAAUCUACGUUUGAGCCAUGGCGUUGAUCCAACUUUUCCUUCUUAUUAAGUCAUUUAGAAAUGCAAGUCCUCCUCUUAAAUGACACUCAGGUACACACCAACAAGGACUAGGCAUCGUUAAUUGUGUGAUUGUUUUGCAGUGCAAAAAACGGAAGUUAAGGACGGAACUGAC
rnacentral:lncRNA from 1 species